rnacentral:rRNA from 1 species
GACAGAGGGUGCGAACGUUGCUCGGAAUCACUGGGCGUAAAGCGCGUGUAGGCGGUGCCAUACGUCGGGUGUGAAAGCCCGGGGCUCAACCCCGGAAGUGCCCCCCGAUACGACGGCGCUGGAGUGCGAGAGAGGCGAGUGGAAUUCCCGGUGUAGAGGUGAAAUUCGUAGAUAUCGGGAGGAACACCAGUGGCGAAGGCGACUCGCUGGCUCGCAACUGACGCUGAGACGCGAAAGCGUGGGGAGCAAACAGG